rnacentral:misc_RNA from 1 species
UUGAUUAUUUAAUAUUUGCUCAGACUUCACUAAUAAAUAGAAUUUGAAUAAACCUCUGGCGGGCGCGAGCCGCCCCCCAGCGAAAAACGCUGGGGGCCGGCAUGAGCCGUAUAGCCUACUCAAGGCCCGCCAAAGCAACAAAGGUAAGGUAAACAUGGGGUUGAGAUGCACGAUGAGCGCUGGCCGAGCCCGGAGGACUCGGACAGACGCCCACCGCUGGGGGCUAGGCCCCCGAACUCAUUAAUGAUCCUUCCGCAGGUUCACCUACGGAAA